GUGGGGAAUAUUGGUCAAUGGGCGCAAGCCUGAACCAGCCAUGCCGCGUGAAGGAAUGAGGCCCUAUGGGUCGUAAACUUCUUUUGUGGUGGAGCAAUAAGGUGCACGUGUGCAUCGAUGAGAGUACAUCACGAAUAAGCAUCGGCUAACUCCGUGCCAGCAGCCGCGGUAAUACGGAGGAUGCAAGCGUUAUCCGGAUUUAUUGGGUUUAAAGGGUGCGUAGGCUGUUCGACAAGUCAGGGGUGAAAGCCCAGUGCCUAACACUGGAACUGCCUUUGAUACUGCCGAGCUGGAAUACGGAUGCCGUGGGAGGAAUGAGUAGUGUAGCGGUGAAAUGCAUAGAUAUUACUCAGAACACCGAUUGCGAAGGCAUCUCACGAAUCCGUCAUUGACGCUGAGGCACGAAAGCGUGGGGAUCAAACAGG
rnacentral:rRNA from 1 species